UAAGGGCGCACGGUGGAUGCCUUGGCACUAGAAGCCGAUGAAGGACGUUACUAACGACGAUAUGCUUUGGGGAGCUGUAAGUAAGCUUUGAUCCAGAGAUUUCCGAAUGGGGAAACCCAGCAUGAGUUAUGUCAUGUUAUCGAUAUGUGAAUACAUAGCAUAUCAGAAGGCACACCCGGAGAACUGAAACAUCUUAGUACCCGGAGGAAGAGAAAGAAAAUUCGAUUCCCUUAGUAGCGGCGAGCGAAACGGGAAGAGCCCAAACCAACAAGCUUGCUUGUUGGGGUUGUAGGACACUCUAUACGGAGUUACAAAGGACGACAUUAGACGAAUCAUCUGGAAAGAUGAAUCAAAGAAGGUAAUAAUCCUGUAGUCGAAAAUGUUGUCUCUCUUGAGUGGAUCCUGAGUACGACGGAGCACGUGAAAUUCCGUCGGAAUCUGGGAGGACCAUCUCCUAAGGCUAAAUACUCUCUAGUGACCGAUAGUGAACCAGUACCGUGAGGGAAAGGUGAAAAGCACCCCGGAAGGGGAGUGAAAUAGAACCUGAAACCGU
rnacentral:rRNA from 1 species